UGAGAUCACAACCUGAGCAGAAACCAAGAGUCAAACACUCAACUGACUGAACCACAUCUCUCUCAAGAUCCCCAGGAAUUGGUUGGAAAACUACCAGUGUGGACGCUUAGAGUGUUGCACGCACAAUGACCUCUCAUUCUACGAGUGCCAGUCGGUGGCCCUGGCCAGACCUCAACCGCUGUCUCCCACCUCAGGCAUGAAGGUACUUAACUAUACAUGACUGAAUUGAGCUACCCUAUGACCCAGCCAUUGCACUACUGGGGGUUUACCCCAAAGAUACAGACGUAGUGAAGAGAAGGGUCAUAUGCAC